rnacentral:rRNA from 1 species
GACGAACGCUGGCGGCGUGCUUAACACAUGCAAGUCGAACGAUGAUGCUGGAGCUUGCUCCAGUUGAUUAGUGGCGAACGGGUGAGUAACACGUGAGCAAUCUGCCCUUGACUCUGGGAUAACUGCGGGAAACUGUAGCUAAUACCGGAUACUUUCACCGGAAGGCAUCUUCUGGUUAUGAAAGAAUUUCGGUCAGGGAUGAGCUCGCGGCCUAUCAGCUUGUUGGUGAGGUAACGGCUCACCAAGGCGACGACGGGUAACCGGCCUGAGAGGGUGACCGGUCACACUGGGACUGAGACACGGCCCAGACUCCUACGGGAGGCAGCAGUGGGGAAUAUUGCACAAUGGGCGCAAGCCUGAUGCAGCAACGCCGCGUGAGGGAUGAAGGCCUUCGGGUUGCAAACCUCUUUUAGCAGGGAAGAAGCGAAAGUGACGGUACCUGCAGAAAAAGCACCGGCUAACUACGUGCCAGCCGCCGCCGUAA